CCACUCUCCUGUGCUGACUGAAACGAAGUAUGACACCAGUCUUGCCCAGGCAAGCUGCUUCUUGUGAAUAGGAAGUGAACAACCCUGGAUUCCAGGCCAGGGGGAGAGAGGUGAGAGAUAUGAACUCAUCAGCAGAAAUGUGAGUUCUUCCCAGCUUCUCCGUGCUGAUACCCCAUGGUUCUCCUACCACCAGAUGCUACUGAGGCUAAACUGACUGGACUGAGGAAAAAUAUCUGUGGGGAAAACUUUCUUUCAGAAUCCAACUUUGAACCAGAGAAAUCCAUUCUCUUGAAGCUGUCUGCUGUGGAGAAGUUGGCCUUACCAAUCUGCCUUUGAAGUUCAAGUUAUACAGGAUCUGCGAGGCUACCUGUGAAUGAAUGGUUGGUUGGUCACUACUUGCAAGUUUUUCAGGAGCUCCUGAAAGAUUACUGCAUAAAUAAGGGAAGAUGGAGACCAGACCUCUGGCUACUGUUGCUGCCACCACUACAGAUACCACCUUCACCCUUAUGAACCCCCUAUUUACUGAACAUUCUCUAUAUGCCAGAUGCAAAAUUGGCUACCACAUUGGAAACUGAUAUUGAAUUUCUCAACGAGUCCAACAGAGUCAGUUUUCCUCCAACACUGAAACAGACCUUGCUUUCUUCAGUUGAGCAACAACUAAAGAUUAUGGACCCAGCUCGUGUGGAGGUGCCAUAUUGCAUAAACAGUGCAUACAGUGAGCCCUCGCAUUCACACUCAGCAUGAUGUGAUUACGACAGUAUGUAUUUCCAUAGGGACUAAAUCAUGCUUAGGCAGAGCAGUUUUACAUCUUUCUCAUGCCCAUUCACUUUAGGGCAUGUGUUUGUUGGGUGGCAUUGUCAGCAUUGUUUAAUUAUUUACCUCUUUUGCAUUAUUUAAAUUGGUUGUCUCUUUGCUUUAUUUUUCUUUUAUAGGAGAAGUGACGAUAUUUAAUAAAAUUUAAUGUGAUGGUGCAACUUCAAUGUAUAUCUAUAUACUCAUAGUAGUUUUAGUGAUGUUCUAUUCAGUUCAAUAAACAUUUAUUAGAGGCUUAUUUUAUGUUUGCAAGUAUACAACAUUUAUGUAAAAUCUUAGGACCAAUCAGGAAAGACUCAUGGGAAAGUCCUGAAUCAGCUACCAGUUCUCAUCUUUCUUCCUCUGACUCAUACAUGACUCUUCUGUCCUUUAAAUAAGAGAGUGAUGCUUUAUUUGAAGGAUAGUGAUAGUGACUUGUGGAGUGAGUAAAAGUACAGCUCCUUAUGGUGAAGGUGUAGAAGAGGACCAAGGAGAUGUACAGUCAGCCCUGCACAUUUUAUACUUGAUUAUAUUCCAUCAUGUGCAUAUUUUUACUGUUGUACUACAGAUACCCACCCUAAUCAUUUUUAUUUAGUUAUUUUUUAUUUUAUUUUAAAUUCUGGGAUACAUGUGCAGAACACGCAGAUUUAUUACAUAGGUAUACAUGUAUCAUGGUGGUUUGCUGCACCUAUCAACCUGUCAUCUAGGUUUUAAGCCCCACAUG
rnacentral:lncRNA from 1 species